UUUUAAUAUCUUUCAUUGAACAAAUAUUGAUCCUUGGCUUACCAUAGAAAAAAAAGGUUAUUAUGCCUUCUAGAAUAAUUGCUAGAAAGAGAGGGUUAGCGAGUUUUUUGGCUUAGUAGAGAGAGAAAAAUCUGAAGACCACUGUCAUUGUCAGGCCAUUCUCCAACCACUGUACGACAUAAAAAAUUCAAUGAUGGGGUUAUUCGACAAUGAAUUGGGCCACAAUAGAUUUUAUUGGUGUAGAAAAAAGUUUUAAACACCCAAAAGUGGAUAUGGUAGGCAAGAUUACCAUCAUGCAAUUGCUGCUGAAAAGCUGCCAAACUUAAAUCCUUUUCUUCAUCCUGAUGCCAAACUCAGGAUUUACUAUCAAAAUCAAAGUUUGAGAGGGAAUUUGUAGCUUGAAAGUGGAUGGAUUUAUUUCAUCUUUGAUUACUAUGUUUUUAGUUAUUUUAAUAUUUCAACUAGGUCAAUAUAGUGUAUUUAAUUGUAUUGUGGCUGUUUGGAUCAGUUAUAUAUCUGCUUGAAUGCA